CGACCCCGAGCCCCCUGGAUCAAACCCUAGCCCCAAAAUUCCCCUCUCCCACUCACGCUUCUCCUCUGAACCUCGUGACCGAGCUGUCGUCGACGCGCCGUCGCCGUCCCCGUGGCCACUGGCCUCCCCGGCGACCGGGAGGUCAUCCAGGGACCUCCUCAUCGUCGACUCCGUCAUCCCCGUGCACCCGUUCAACCGGAGCUGCAUCGUACGCAUGGAUCGAGCCGUCUUCCCCGCCACGGCCACCGCCGUUCGUCGUUAGAUUUAUCGCCUCCCGAGCUCCCCCGACCUCCUAACCUCGUCCACGAGCAUCACGACCCCGAGACUGCCGGCGACACCCAGUUCGACUACGGUGUGGACGACUCGUCCUUCUUGCUAAGAGCAACCAGAUGCUGGAGCCCUGGAGCCAGACGCCACCGUCGACGAAGACUCCUACCACACCGGAGGUGCCUACUAAUACGUGCAGCCCGCUGACGACGACCAGGAGUAGUUAGGAGGAUCCCAGGCAGGAGGCCUGCGCCUCUUUCGAUCUGUAUCCCAGUUUGUGCUAGCCUUCUUAAGGCAAACUUGUUUAACUUAUGUCUGUACUCAGAUAUUGUUGCUUCCGCUGACUCCUCUAUGAUCGAGCACUUGUAUUCGAGCCCUCGAGGCCCC
rnacentral:rRNA from 1 species